GAUAAACGCUGGCGGGGUGCAUGAGACAUGCAAGUCGAACGGGGUUGAUCGGGCUUGCUCGAUCAACCUAGUGGCGAACGGCUGAGUAACGCGUAGGUGACCUACCCGGAAGUGGGGAAUAACUGCCCGAAAGGGUGGCUAAUACCGCAUGUGGUCGGCGAAUCAGAUCGCCGUCCAAAGCCGAAAGGCGCUUCCGGAGGGGCCUGCGUCCGAUUAGCUAGUUGGCGAGGUAAUGGCUCACCAAGGCGACGAUCGGUAGCUGGUCUGAGAGGAUGAUCAGCCAGACUGGGACUGAGAACGGCCCAGACUCCUACGGGAGGCAG
rnacentral:rRNA from 1 species